GUUAACCAAAGUUUUGGAUUUCUAGAACAACAAAAAUUAUUUUGAAACAAAAUAGGAAGUAGGUGUGGAAGGGAGGGGGUAAUUAGUUGAUAUGGAGAUGACGUUGGCCACUUGAUGGCAAAGCCGGACAAUGAUGUUGGUUUUGGAGGGAUGAAAGCUAUUAGAUCAGCUAUUCUCCUUCAUCAUAUGGCUCCGUGGUUAAUUGACUUAAUCCUGUUUGGCCAACAAUUGAAGGGGUGAAUAUGUAAAUCACAAAUAUAAAUGACCUCUGAGUUAAUCAUGGAUAACUCACUAUUUGACUCAUAAAAUCAAUUUGGGUAUCCAAUAAAUGGUAUUACUAUGAAGUUGGUAAACAAGUUUAGAAAUAUUGCUCUUAGCUAUAGCUGAUGUUUAUUUAUUUUAUUCAAUUUCGCAACGCUUAAACAUGGGAGAGCCGCAAAAAUAGGAAAGCCAGAGGUUGAAAAGAGAGCGGUGGUGAUUGGAAAAGUUGAGAGGAAGUGGAGUUGAAGGGUAUCCUAAACAGAAAAGAAUUAAAGGACGUUAAGGAUGAAGGCAUAUUUUGGAUGCUUGUUAAUAUUGAGCAAGAGAUGUGAUGGACGUCGUUGUCAUGGAAAGGGCCAUCGGGGUCGUUUCGUGGAGAGUCCAAUGGAAGACCAGCUUGACGAGAUCAGAAGCAUGACUUAGCAACCAUAAUUAAGCGACAGCCGAAUUAAUAGCAGAGACUUGUAUGGAUACGUAUGUGCAAAUGCGGGGAGAGAAAUGAUGAGAGUGAGAAGGGUGAGGAGUGAGAUGAUAUUGAGGUCAAGAGUGCGGAGCCCCCACAGUGAUGAGUGAUGUGUGCGGCGAUGAUGAUGUGAUUGGGGCAAAUGAUUUGGAUGGUGCGAACUGAUUUGCAUGCGGACUUCAAAAUGCAUCGAGUGUCCUGACCUCUAUUAUGCCAAAAGCAAUAAUCAUCCAUUGCAGAUCAGUGCAGCUAGCAAUAUUGAUCGGUGACUGUUGAUGGCCAUGCUGGCUGCUUUGGCAAAAGCGGCUUUAAACGAAGGCUGAUCCGAUAUACAUGAAAAAGUGGCAGAGUAAAAAUUACAAUGACCCAGUUUGGAUAUGAGCGAAACGCGAAGAUACUGAAGACAGAUUGUUGGGCAAUGGAAUUGACGACCAAUUGAGAAGCAUUUGGAGAGUUUUGGUUUUAAUUUAUGACACCAUCUUGUCGGUAAAUAAAUAAACCGGAGUGCGCACUUGGAAAAGGGAAGAUUUUUGCUAUCAUUAAGAUCAUUAAUAUAUCAAUAAUUUUUAGUAUACACGAGGGAUUGCCUUGUGGCAUGCAAAGUAACAAGACUUCGAGAAGGCAAGAGACAUAAGCGGGCGUAUGAAAUAUCAUGUGCGUAGACGUGUUACAAUUGAACACCGUACAAGUAUUUCUUCAAUACAAAUGAUCUCGAGUGGUUCCCAUAACGUAAAUAUGUCGUUUUGUAAAACCAUGCA